AUAAUGGUGUACUCAUUGCUACUGCAGGAUUGAUUAUAUUAUUCUAAAAAAAUUACAGAUUUGUGCUUCCAACUCAGAAAGUCAUGAAGGUGGAGGCCUGGCAGCUUAAGUGACUCACAGUGAUUCGGAUGGGAGUUUAGAAGCUCAACGCCUUAGCCAGAUGGUACGAAUCAUCUCUUGGCAUCGGCCAGCAGGGCGCUG